rnacentral:rRNA from 1 species
GAUGAACGCUGGCGGCGUGCCUAAUACAUGCAAGUCGAGCGAAUGGAUUAAGAGCUUGCUCUUAUGAAGUUAGCGGCGGACGGGUGAGUAACACGUGGGUAACCUGCCCAUAAGACUGGGAUAACUCCGGGAAACCGGGGCUAAUACCGGAUAACAUUUUGAACCGCAUGGUUCGAAAUUGAAAGGCGGCUUCGGCGGUCACUUAUGGAUGGACCCGCGUCGCAUUGGCUAGUUGGUGAGGUAACGGCUCACCAAGGCAACGGUGCGUAGCCGACCUGAGAGGGUGAUCGGCCACACUGGGACUGAGACACGGCCCAGACUCCUACGGGAGGCAGCAGUAGGGAAUCUUCCGCAAUGGACGAAAGUCUGACGGAGCAACGCCGCGUGAGUGAUGAAGGCUUUCGGGUCGUAAUACUCUGUUGUUAGGGAAGAACAAGUGCUAGUUGAAUAAGCUGGCACCUUGACGGUACCUAACCAGAAAGCCACGGCUAACUACGUGCCAGCAGCCGCCGUAA